rnacentral:rRNA from 1 species
UAGCCAUCCGAAAGGAUGGGUAAUACCGGAUGACAUCACCGACAGGCAUCUGUCGGUGCUCAAAGGUCCGCCGGUCUGGGAGCGGGCGAUUUCGUAUCAGCUAGUUGGUGGGGUAACGGCCCACCAAGGCGACGACGCGUAGCCGGACUGAGAGGUUGGCCGGCCUCAUUGGGACUGAGACACUGCCCAGACUCCUACGGGGGGCUGCAGUAACGAAUCUUCCGCAAUGCACGAAAGUGUGACGGAGCGACGCCGCGUGUGGGACGAAGCCCUUCGGGGUGUAAACCACUGUCAGGGGUUACCAAGUUCUGAGGAGCCCCAGAGGAAGGCACGGCUAACUCUGUGCCAGCAGCCGCGGUAAGACAGAGGUGCCAAGCGUUAGGCGGAAUCACUGGGCUUAAAGCGUGUGU